AUGCAGGAAUAUGAAGCAAAUAACGUGAGACGAAGUGCACGGGCCUCACUGGAAAGGAGACUCGCCUGUGUCCACCAACAGCCUACCAGACAAUCGCAAGUGUCACGGAGGCCCCCUGGAUCCAUACACAUGUAUGCACAUAAGGCAACAUGGCUUGAUACAUAUUUCUUAGACCAAGGCUGGAUGCUGGAUCACAUCCAUUUCCCUUCACUGAACUUUUCCAUAUAUCCUUCAUUAGUAAGUGCUUGUUAAGUGCAGGGUUAUGGUGGUCUGAAGUCUAUCAUGGAAACUUAGGGUGUGAAACAAGGACCACCAUGGACAGGACACUAGUCAGACCAUUCUAUCAUUUAUAGAUUUUUUUUUUUUUUUUGUUUUAGUAACAUAGGGGUGCGGUGGUGCAGUGGGUUGGACCGGGUCCUGCUCUCCGGUGGGUCUGGGGUUCGAUUCCUGCUUGGGGUGCCUUGCAGCGGACUGGCAUCCCGUCCUGGGUGUGUCCCCUCCCUCUCCGGCCUUGCGCCCUGUGUUGCCGGGUAGGCUCCGGUUCCCCCGUGUGUGUGUGUGUGUGUGUGUUUGUUUGUUUUAGUUCUUCCAUUUCCCCUUGUCAUUAAGUAAAUCUAACUGAAAGGUAACAUUUAUGUCACUCCAUUACUUUUUUCUAUCCAUUUUCACUUGUGGAAGGCAUGGUGGCGCAGCUGGUUUGACCAGGUCCUGCUCUCCAGUGGGUCUGGGGUUUAAGUCCCGCUUGGGGUGCCUUGCGAUGGACUGGCAUUCCGCCCUGGGUGUGUCCCCUCCCCCUCCAGCCUUAGACCCUGUGUUGCCAGGUUAGGCUCCAGCUUGCUGCGACCCUGGUUGGGACAAGUAGUUUCAGACUGUGUGUGUGUGUGUGUGUGUGUGUGUGUGUGUGUGUGUGUGUGUGUGGGUGGGUGGGUGUGGUUUUUCAUGUACUGGUAAAGAAAAAAAUCUUGUUUUACCUUUGGCAUCAACUAAAAUAUAGUCAAGGAUGGUAAAUGCAAAAUAUUGAAGCCACUGAUACAUUAACUAUAAUUAAAGUGCAGUGGAACUAAUGUAGUAUGUUUUCAAUGUGUGCACAAUAAGACAUCUGUAUAUUUUGACACUUUUUUCUGUAAUAAUUGUUUAAUCUUACUGUACUUUACAUUAAACCGACAGU
rnacentral:lncRNA from 1 species